CUCUCUCUCUCUUGUCCUUUUUCACGUGUCUUUCUAUCACUUCAAUCUUUCUUCCUCUGCCACUAUGUUCUUCUUUAUCUUUUUCUAUCUCACCACCAUCCUCUUAUCUCUCAUUCAUUUCUCUUCCCCCUUCUUUCUAUUCCUUCUCUUUCUCUUUCUCCUCUUUCUCUUUCUCUUUAUCUAAGUUGAAACAUAUUAUCUUUCUUCUUCUUCUGGUAUCAUGCAGUCUGUAGUCUUCCUUCUUUUAGGUGUGUUUCAACGGUGAAGAAGAAUAAUAUGAAUGGCGACUAUGGGUUACCAGUGAUGAGAGUGGUGGUGGUGGAAACGAGCUUGCGACGACGAGUGUGGUGGCGGUGGUGGUUGAAAUGGGUCAGCAGAAAUGAGUUUGUAGGUGGUGGAAACAGAAUUUCGCGACGAGUGUGGUGGUGGUCCGAUUUGAAAUGAUUUAUGUUUGACAUUUUCUAUUUAUGUUUUGUUACGGAUUUCUGACGAUGAGUGUGGUGCGUAUGCGCGUACCAAAUUCUUUUUACUACUUGUGUAAUAUUAAUUAUGCUUACUGAGAUUUCCUAUUUUCACUUUUAGUAUCACGUUACAUGUUCACCAGGUACUCUAGCAGAUAAAUAUGAAAAGCUUUAUGGUGAAGUGAAAUGAACGGGGAAACCUCACGAGGUAUUUUAUAUGUUUUGUUGACAUGGGUGAGACGUAAUUGGCGUUAUCAAAAUAUUGUUAGAUGUCAUAUUAUUGCUGUGAUCAAGUGUUGUACAUAUUCGUGCUUCAGCAUGAUAUCGAUGUCAAGAUGUUAAACGUGAUCAAACGGCUGCUAAAGUAAACUGUUGUGGCUAUUAUGCCAAACAUUUCAGGUGCUAAAUCGGAAGGUUACAUUAGAUGGAAUGAAUUUAUUGCGUGUCAAUUCUUGUCAUAACAUUCGAAUUAUUAUACAUGGUUUAUACUUCGAAUGGGUCGAAAUCUAAUAUGGAGUUGCAAGAUGAUAUUGCCGGCAAAACUUUGACUUCAAGGCCGCCAAUACAUACAAUGAUCACAACACUAGAACAAUCCGGCAAGGAGAAUAAUUUUUCCAUCCAUAUAUAUUGAGCUCCAGCCAGCGUCAAGGUACUGGGAGUUUGUUUCCAACAAUUAAACUUUUGCCAAAUAUAUAUGGAUACAAAUUUGGUUCAGAAGCUAAGCUUGCAGUGUUAAAGAACAUAGCUGGUGAUUUCAAGAAGAUGGGAAAGAGAAUCUUUGUGUUUAUUAUUGGUGGGGCUACUCGAUCUGAGGUAAAUAUGAUAAAGAACUUCUGCAACAAUAUCCGGAAUUUUUCAACUGUAAUCCCAUAUAAAGAUUAUUUUGUUAUUUUCAACUACGUGUUUGUCACAAACUGACAACAAAACUAAUAAGAGAAGUAGUCCUAGGCACUACUUCCAUGAAUGAUCCUGCACAAUAUCUUACGGUAAUAACUCCUUCAUCAUUUUUUGCAAGAAACUUAUAUAAAGCACAAUUGUUUCUCCUGAUGUGGUGUAAUGUGCAUAAAUUGAAGUUAUUAUGUAAGAGUAAAGUUACGCCUACGCUUGACGGCCUAGGAAUAUGAAGUGUUUCUUAAUACUGAUAAUUGCCAAAAAGUUGCCUAUACCUUCUGUAUCAAUUAUUACUCACCACCCUUAAUUCUUUAGACAUAGAAAGUUUAUGUUCACUUGACAAGGGAUGAACACAUGGCCCUUUAAAUUUUGGUUACACAAAUUUUGUCAUGUACGAUGGACAUUUGGUAUAACUGUUAGAUGAUAUAUUUUUCAUGUCAAACUCAGCUGAAAGAAAAUAAAUUAUAGCUUUUAUUUUUACUUCUUCCUUAUUCUGCCUUUUACAAUGAAUGACAUGCAAGUCUCUAAACCAAAUAAUAAAAUGUAAAUAUCAAGGAAGAAGUAGUAACUAAGAAAUGCAUGCAGCAUGGUCAUCCAUGGAAGCAUCAAGGGCCUCUUCUAAAUAUGAGCUAUUUUUCAACAAAUUGCGAGAGAUAGCCCGAUGUGUUUGUUACUAUUAAGCGGUUACCGGAUGGGAACAAGGAGCUUCGUCGUGUUAGGUUCAGUCGAUAGAGAUUUGGAGACGAAGAUGCAAGGAAAUGGUGGGAAAAGAAUAGAGAAAGAGUUCAAGUCCAAUACAUAUAAAGUCUUUGUGCCAGAUGAAAAAAAGUGACUAUGUCUUAAGUUGAUUAUUAGAAUCCUCCAAUUUUGGUGAAUUUGGUUUCAUAUACAUAUAUGUACUUGAUUACUUUCACCAUCUUCUGUUAUAUGUAUAUUUUUAUCUCUUGGGAUUCUAUUGUGAUCAUGGUUGGCAUAAAUCAAUAUAAUUUAUCAAUUGUUAAUUUUGUUUA